rnacentral:rRNA from 1 species
UACGAAGGGGGCUAGCGUUGCUCGGAAUCACUGGGCGUAAAGGGUGCGUAGGCGGGUCUUUAAGUCAGGGGGGAAAUCCUGGAGCUCAACUCCAGAACUGCCUUUGAUACUGAGGAUCUUGAGUUCGGGAGAGGUGAGUGGAACUGCGAGUGUAGAGGUGAAAUUCGUAGAUAUUCGCAAGAACACCAGUGGCGAAGGCGGCUGUCUGGUCCGGUUCUGACGCUGAGGCGCGAAAGCGUGGGGAGCAAACAGG